CCUACGGGGGGCAGCAGUGGGGGAUAUUGCACAAUGGGGGGAACCCUGAUGCAGCGACGCCGCGUGAGUGAAGAAGUAUUUCGGUAUGUAAAGCUCUAUCAGCAGGGAAGAAGAAAGACGGUACCUGAGUAAGAAGCCCCGGCUAACUACGUGCCAGCAGCCGCGGUAAUACGUAGGUGACAAGCGUUGUCCGGAUUUACUGGGUGUAAAGGGCGCGUAGGCGGAUGUGCAAGUCAGUCGUGAAAUACCGGGGCUCAACCCCGGGGCUGCGAUUGAAACUGCACACCUUGAGUAUCGGAGAGGAA
rnacentral:rRNA from 1 species